AUUAGCAUGGAAUAAUAGAAUAGGACGUUGCGGUCCUAUUUUGUUGGUUUCUAGGACCGCCGUAAUGAUUAAUAGGGAUAGUCGGGGGUAUCAGUAUUCAAUUGUCAGAGGUGAAAUUCUUGGAUUUAUUGAAGACUAACUACUGCGAAAGCAUUUACCAAGGAUGUUUUCAUUAAUCAGUGAACGAAAGUUAGGGGAUCGAAGACGAUCAGAUACCGUCGUAGUCUUAACCGUAAACGAUGCCGACUAGGGAUCGGGCGAUGUUAUCAUUUUGACUCGCUCGGCACCUUACGAGAAAUCAAAGUUUUUGGGUUCUGGGGGGAGUAUGGUCGCAAGGCUGAAACUUAAAGAAAUUGACGGAAGGGCACCACCAGGCGUAAACCGCAGCGUCUCUGCGCCGAAAAGCAGCCCGCGAGGGUGAGGUGGUGCCUAAACUCGCUAAGAGUUUGAAUCAAAAAUGCUAGUCUGCCGGUUAGGUAGGCAACACGCUUCAAAUUGCGGGAACCCCCUUAAGCUCACAGACACCAAACCGGCGCCGAAAGGCAGCUGGUGGCUAGGUUAACCGCCUGGGUAUGGUAAAAGUUCUGAGAGAUUGGGAAAUCCGCAGCCAACCCCUAAAGUACCGCCUGGUAAAAUGGGAGAGGUUCAGAGACUAAAUGGGCGUGGGUCCAAGGAAACUUGGGCUUAAGAGAUAGUCCGGCCGCCGUUGAAAGACGGUGGGCCAGGUAAACCCUUCAAAAAACGGGAGCCUGCGGCUUAAUUUGACUCAACACGGGGAAACUCACCAGGUCCAGACACAGUGAGGAUUGACAGAUUGAGAGCUCUUUCUUGAUUUUGUGGGUGGUGGUGCAUGGCCGUUCUUAGUUGGUGGAGUGAUUUGUCUGCUUAAUU
rnacentral:rRNA from 1 species